rnacentral:lncRNA from 13 species
GCUGAACUAUCAGUCCUCUGUAUCUAAUUGUCAAUAUACGAAAGUACAGAGGACAGAGGACCAUCUCAAACUACACCAUGGAGAUGCAGUCUGCAAAAUCCAGAGAGAGGAAGAUGCUACAGGAUAUACAGCCUGAUUUCUUCAACAAGUCAUUAAUUCUCAGCAUUCUGUUCUAAGACAAAGAGUUAAAUCUGGGCAGAAAAGCAGAGAAGUAGAAUUGUCCUACUUCCAGAGAGAUACAGGAGAUUACAUGUGAAUUUCCAUUGUUUUAUUUAAAAAAAUAAAUAUGCAUAAUUUGUUAUGAGUAUAUUUAGG